CAGUAGUCACGAGUUUGAUCAUGGCUCAGAACGAACGCUGGCGGCAUGCCUAACACAUGCAAGUCGAACGCCCUCUUCGGAGGGAGUGGCGCACGGGUGCGUUAACGCGUGGGAACCUGCCCUUAGGUUCGGAAUAACUCAGAGAAAUUUGAGCUAAUACCGGAUAAUGUCUUCGGACCAAAGAUUUAUCGCCUUUGGAUGGGCCCGCGUUGGAUUAGCUAGUUGGUGGGGUAAAGGCCUACCAAGGCGACGAUCCAUAGCUGGUCUGAGAGGAUGAUCAGCCACACUGGGACUGAGACACGGCCCAGACUCCUACGGGAGGCAGCAGUGGGGAAUAUUGGACAAUGGGCGAAAGCCUGAUCCAGCAAUGCCGCGUGAGUGAUGAAGGCCUUAGGGUUGUAAAGCUCUUUUACUGGGGAUGAUAAUGACAGUACCCAGAGAAUAAGCUCCGGCUAACUCCGUG
rnacentral:rRNA from 1 species